CUGCUGCUUGCCGCCAGUCAAACAUUUGCUGUCAGUAAUAAUUGUCUUCUCUCUGUCAAUUGGUCAAGAGAUAUUUAUUUAUUAUAAAAAAACGGACUCAAUCGAAACCGACUACAGCUGCAGGCUUGCGAGCUCAAGCAUCCGCUAAUGGCAAUUCGAUUUUUGGAAAUCGACCGACUAGUUUUACAGGCCUGUUUGGUGGAAACAACAACAGUUAUUCCGCGUUGCUAGGGUUCAAUUCAUCCAAUUGUUAUAUUUAAAUUACACUAAUCCAUACACAACUUAUGGCGGAACGACAUCUGGAUACGGUGGAGUAACUCUGCCCUCACACUCAACUGUUAAUUCUCUGAAUCUCGCUGCUCCUUUAUCAACUUAUAACUAUUCCCAAGCUCGAAC